UUGCGCCGGUGAUGGUAACUCC
rnacentral:misc_RNA from 1 species